UGCAGUCGAGCGGCCGUACCAUACGGCAGCGGCAGACGGGAGAGUAACACGUGGGAACGCGCCCUUCGGUUCGGGAUAACUCAGGGAAACUUGAGCUAAUACCGGAUACGCCCUUACGGGGAAAGAUUUAUUGCCGAAGGAACGGCCCGCGUCCGAUUAGCUUGUUGGUGAGGUAACGGCUCACCAAGGCGACGAUCGGUAGCUGGUCUGAGAGGAUGACCAGCCUCACUGGGACUGAGACACGGCCCAGACUCCUACGGGAGGCAGCAGUGGG
rnacentral:rRNA from 1 species